rnacentral:lncRNA from 1 species
GGGAGAUAAGAGAUGGGAAAGCAAACAGCGAGAGCUGAUUGGGGCUAAGCAGAGAGAAAUCAAAUUCUCAUUGCAGCUUCUCAACAGAUAAAAUCCAAAUCAAAGCAAAUGUGAUGAAAUGGCAGUGUUAGAAAUGUAUUGUAACGGGAAGGAUCGUGUGCUGCUAACUGUGCUUCCAAGUGUGCACAAGCCAAAUGCUUGUGACAUGUGUGAGGCCAGGCGGGCCUGCACCCAAAGGAGCCCGGCUGCCCCCAAAGGAGCCCAUCUGGCCCUAAAGCAGCCUGGCUGCCCCAUGUGGAAGCUCAGGGGCAGUCAGGAGGGUCAUUGCCAUCACUGCCUUCACUGCCCACACCUGGGGGAAUUCCACCCCCUCGAAGCAGGGAGCAAGAAAGGGAUAAAAAGGGUGGGAAGGGCAGGCUCCUGCUUCUUGAGGGGUGGUCAGCAGGGGGGACUGCUCUGGUGGGUACCUGGAGUAUUUGCCCUGAGGUUUGGUUUGUGCAUUUUUGUUGUCUUCCUGCAGCCACCAGGGCCCUCGCUGCUGCCUUGUGUGUGCAGUGCUGUGACUGAACAUAACCUGCUGCAGGUGUGGUGUCCUUGUACCCUCCUGGCAACUGGCAAGCAGGAGACUUUUUUACAGGAGUGUGUGUCUGGCAUUCCUCUGAAAAGCUCUCGCACAACUUAUGGUGCUGUGUCAGAGCGGUUUGAUUCGCGCUGUACCUGACAGCUGACUGGGGCAUCUUACCCGAAUUUGUCUGUAUGAGGAGCCAAGUGAAGCAGGUUCUGGAUGUCAGCUCGUAGCCCGCAGGAAAACUCAUUAAGGGAUGAGCUGCACCGUGGACUGUUUUGAAAGCAGAGGUUCUCACAAAGAAGAUCAUUAUUCAACAAAACGGUUUCUCCGAGCAGUAAACAAAAUAUAAUCAGGCUUGUGACGUGAAUGGCACAUUGUAAAGCGGUGUCAGCUGUGGGUGGGACCUUCAAACAGAAAGAGCAUCUGCCCGGCUAAGUGGAAGCGUGCUCUCGGGGAGCCCUCCUUCCUUCAGGCACUGCACACAGAGAGGAAAGCGGGGAUCAGAGGGGGUCUCCGGCUAAUGAAGGGAGGCGUGCAGGAGUAAACAACACUGGCUCCUGCCCCCCCGUGUUUCCUUUUAACACUGGAGGGGCUGCCUUCUUCAGCUGAGCACAGCAUAAAUAAGUCAUGGUUCUGGUAACGUUGAACCCAAAGAAAGAGAUGCACAGCUUGGGGAGAUCUCCAGAGAGACAACAUGCAUCUGCCUGGCAUGGACAGAGGGAACAUCAGUCCUUACAGGAUUACUUUUAUUGUUCUUAACUGAUGUGUCAGGGAAAUGAAGCAGGAAGAUGAACUCCAAAGGCUAGCUGGAAAACAACCACCACAAACGACCCCCAAUGUGUAUUUUAAGGUUUUGAAAUCGGUGGAGUCAGCCUAACCACCUCGGAGAAGGAAAAGCAGCCCCAAGGGCCAAGGCUGAAAUGUCAGAGCAGUGCCCUGGGGAAGGCCCCGAGGUGCAGAGGGACUGCAGGGACACCCUGCAGGCUGUGGGAGCAUCGGGUGCCUCUCGGAGCCUGGGACUCGUGUCUGGUGGGGUUAUGAGGCUUUUAACAAUUCCUGCUGCUUUCAGCUCCUUCCGAGCCACAAGCUUCUUUUUACUAAACAAGGAAUUAACUUCCUGUAGGGUUUUCUGUCUUAAAGGGUGGAUGCCACA